rnacentral:rRNA from 1 species
UUGAAAGGGAAACGAUUGAAGUCAGUCGUACCUGCGGGUAAUCAGCCUUUUGGGCAUGAUUCUGUGGAGCGUGAGGAGUUAAACGCCUUCAUGCCUGCAUAUUCGUGUACAUUGGGUGUACUUGCCUGUGUGGUUAGUUAACACCAAUUUUGGUUAUCAUAAAAUGGUUGGAGGAAUGUAGCUUCGAUUUCGAUUGAAGUGUUAUAGCCUUCGGCAGAUGUGAUGAUCGGGAUUGAGGAUUGCAACGGAUACCCUUCGGGGCUACCUGUCUGGUCUCUGAUCGUUGCUUUGGUGCCGAAAGCGUGCUUACGGUUAUCAAAGUCGAUGGUCAAUAGGUUGGAACGGGUUAAAUUCGUUAAGGAUGUUGACGUA